rnacentral:rRNA from 1 species
ACGGAGGGGGCAAGCGUUAUUCGGAAUUACUGGGCGUAAAGCGCGCGCAGGUGGUGCGAUAAGUGGCAGGUGAAAUCCCUCGGCUUAACCGGGGAACGGCCUGCGAAACUGUGGAUCUUGAGGAUUGGAGGGGAGAGUGGAAUUCCUGGUGUAGCGGUGAAAUGCGUAGAUACCAGGAGGAACACCGGUGGCGAAGGCGGCUAUCUGGACCAGAUCUGACACUCAUGCGCGAAAGCGUGGGUAGCAAACAG